rnacentral:rRNA from 1 species
UACAGAGGAGCCAAGCGUUGUCCGGAUUGACUGGGCGUAAAGCGCACGCAGGCGGAUGCGCGCGUGGGGUGUGAAAUCUGGCCGCUUAACGGCCAGGCGCCAUCCCAUACGGCGCGUCUGGAGUGAUGCAGAGGUCGAUGGAAUUGCCGGUGUAGUGGUGAAAUGCGUAGAGCUCGGGAAGAACAUCGGUGGCGAAAGCGCUCUACUGGACUGCAACUGACACUCAGGGACGAAAGCUAGGGGAGCGAAUGGG